GGGGGAUAUUGCACAAUGGGGGAAACCCUGAUGCAGCGACGCCGCGUGGAGGAAGAAGGUUUUCGGAUUGUAAACUCCUGUCGUUAGGGACGAUAAUGACGGUACCUAACAAGAAAGCACCGGCUAACUACGUGCCAGCAGCCGCGGUAAAACGUAGGGUGCAAGCGUUGUCCGGAAUUACUGGGUGUAAAGGGAGCGCAGGCGGACCGGCAAGUUGGAAGUGAAAACUAUGGGCUCAACCCAUAAAUUGCUUUCAAAACUGCUGGCCUUGAGUAGUGCAGAGGUAGGUGGAAUUCCCGGUGUAGCGGUGGAAUGCGUAGAUAUCGGGAGGAACACCAGUGGCGAAGGCGACCUACUGGGCACCAACUGACGCUGAGGCUCGAAAGCAUGGGUAGCAAACAGGAUUAGAUACCCUGGUAGUCCAUGCCGUAAACGAUGAUUACUAGGUGUUGGAGGAUUGACCCCUUCAGUGCCGCAGUUAACACAAUAAGUAAUCCACCUGGGGAGUACGACCGCAAGGUUGAAACUCAAAGGAAUUGACGGGGGCCCGCACAAGCAGUGGAGUAUGUGGUUUAAUUCGAAGCAACGCGAAGAACCUUACCAGGUCUUGACAUCCGAUGCAUAGCGCAGAGAUGCGUGAAGUCCUUCGGGACAUCGAGACAGGUGGUGCAUGAUUGUCGUCAGCUCGUGUCGUGAGAUGUUGGGUUAAGUCCCGCAACGAGCGCAACCCUUAUUGCCAGUUACUACGUAAGAGGACUCUGGCGAGACUGCCGUUGACAAAACGGAGGAAGGUGGGGAUGACGUCAAAUCAUCAUGCCCUUUAUGACCUGGGCUACACACGUACUACAAUGGCGUUUAACAAAGAGAAGCAAGACCGCGAGGUGGAGCAAAACUCAAAAACAACGUCUCAGUUCAGAUUGCAGGCUGCAACUCGCCUGCAUGAAGUCGGAAUUGCUAGUAAUCGCGGAUCAGCAUGCCGCGGUGAAUACGUUCCCG
rnacentral:rRNA from 1 species